GGUGAGGUAAUGGCUUACCAAGGCUAUGAUCUAUAGCUGGUCUGAGAGGACGAUCAGCCACACUGGAACUGAGAUACGGUCCAGACUCCUACGGGAGGCAGCAGUGGGGAAUAUUGGACAAUGGGCGAAAGCCUGAUCCAGCUAUGCCGCGUGAGUGAAGAAGGCCUUCGGGUUGUAAAACUCUUUCAAUAGGGAAGAUAAUGACGGUACCUAUAGAAGAAGUCCCGGCAAACUCUGUGCCAGCAGCCGCGGUAAUACGGAGGGGGCAAGCGUUGUUCGGAAUUAUUGGGCGUAAAGGGCACGUAGGUGGACUAGUAAGUUAAAAGUGAAAUACCAAAGCUUAACUUUGGAGCGGCUUUUAAUACUGCUAGACUAGAG
rnacentral:rRNA from 1 species